rnacentral:rRNA from 1 species
UACAGAGGGGGCAAGCGUUGUUCGGAAUUACUGGGCGUAAAGGGCGCGUAGGCGGUCUUCUAAGUCUGGUGUGAAAUCCCUCGGCUUAACUGAGGAACUGCACGGGAUACUGGGAGACUUGAGUUCGGGAGAGGGAAGCGGAAUUCCCGGUGUAGCGGUGAAAUGCGCAGAUAUCGGGAAGAACACCCGUGGCGAAGGCGGUUCUCUGGGACGGUACUGACGCUGAGACGCGAAAGCGUGGGGAGCGAACAGG